rnacentral:rRNA from 1 species
GACACGGUCCAAACUCCUACGGGAGGCAGCAGUGAGGAAUAUUGGUCAAUGGGCGGAAGCCUGAACCAGCCAAGUAGCGUGCAGGAAGACGGCCCUCCGGGUUGUAAACUGCUUUUAGUUGGGAAUAAAACGGGGCUCGUGAGCCCCCUUGCAUGUACCAUCAGAAAAAGGACCGGCUAAUUCCGUGCCAGCAGCCGCGGUAAUACGGAAGGUCCGGGCGUUAUCCGGAUUUAUUGGGUUUAAAGGGAGCGCAGGCGGACCUUUAAGUCAGCUGUGAAAUACGGCGGCUCAACCGUCGAACUGCAGUUGAUACUGGAGGUCUUGAGUGCACACAGGGAUGCUGGAAUUCAUGGUGUAGCGGUGAAAUGCUCAGAUAUCAUGAAGAACUCCGAUCGCGAAGGCAGGCAUCCGGGGUGCAACUGACGCUGAGGCUCGAAAGUGCGGGUAUCAAACAGGAUUAGAUACCCUGGUAGUCCGCACAGUAAACGAUGAAUACUCGCGGUUUGCGAUAUAGUGUAAGCCGCCAAGCGAAAGCGUUAAGUAUUCCACCUGGGGAGUACGCCGGCAACGGUGAAACUCAAAGGAAUUGACGGGGGCCCGCACAAGCGGAGGAACAUGUGGUUUAAUUCGAUGAUACGCGAGGAACCUUACCCGGGCUUGAACUGCCAGCGACGGAUGCAGAGACGCAUCUUUCUUCGGACGCUGGCGGAGGUGCUGCAUGGUUGUCGUCAGCUCGUGCCGUGAGGUGUCGGCUUAAGUGCCAUAACGAGCGCAACCCUUAUCUUUAGUUACUAACAGGUAAUGCUGAGGACUCUAGAGAGACUGCCGUCGUAAGAUGUGAGGAAGGUGGGGAUGACGUCAAAUCAGCACGGCCCUUACGUCCGGGGCUACACACGUGUUACAAUGGGCGGUACAGAGGGCAGCCACUGCGCGAGCAGGAGCCAAUCCUCAAAGCCGUUCUCAGUUCGGACUGGAGUCUGCAACCCGACUCCACGAAGCUGGAUUCGCUAGUAAUCGCGCAUCAGCCAUGGCGCGGUGAAUACGUUCCCGGGCCUUGUACACACCGCCCGUCAAGCCAUGGAAGCCGGGAGUGCCUGAAGGCCGUAACCGCAAGGAGCGGUCAAGGGUAAGACUGGUGACUGGGGCUAAGUCGUAACAAGGUAGCCGUACCGGAAGGUGCGGCUG